UGGGGAAUUUUGGACAAUGGGCGAAAGCCUGAUCCAGCAAUGCCGCGUGUGUGAAGAAGGCCUUCGGGUUGUAAAGCACUUUUGUCCGGAAAGAAAUGGCUCUGGUUAAUACCUGGGGUCGAUGACGGUACCGGAAGAAUAAGGACCGGCUAACUACGUGCCAGCAGCCGCGGUAAUACGUAGGGUCCAAGCGUUAAUCGGAAUUACUGGGCGUAAAGCGUGCGCAGGCGGUUGUGCAAGACCGAUGUGAAAUCCCCGAGCUUAACUUGGGAAUUGCAUUGGUGGCUGCACGGCUAGAGUGUGUCAGAGGGGGGUAGAAUUCCACGUGUAGCAGUGAAAUGCGUAGAGAUGUGGAGGAAUACCGAUGGCGAAGGCAGCCCCCUGGGAUAACACUGACGAUCAUGCACGAAAGCGUGGGGAGCAAACAGG
rnacentral:rRNA from 1 species